AGCCUGAUGCAGCAACGCCGCGUGAGGGACGACGGCCUUAGGGUUGUAAACCUCUUUUAGCAAGGAAGAAGCGAAAGUGACGGUACUUGCAGAAAAAGCGCCGGCUAACUACGUGCCAGCAGCCGCGGUAAUACGUAGGGCGCAAGCGUUAUCCGGAAUUAUUGGGCGUAAAGAGCUCGUAGGCGGUUUGUCGCGUCUGCUGUGAAAACUGGGGGCUCAACCCCCAGCCUGCAGUGGGUACGGGCAGACUAGAGUGCGGUAGGGGAGAUUGGAAUUCCUGGUGUAGCGGUGGAAUGCGCAGAUAUCAGGAGGAACACCGAUGGCGAAGGCAGAUCUCUGGGCCGUAACUGACGCUGAGGAGCGAAAGGGUGGGGAGCAAACAGGCUUAGAUACCCUGGUAGUCCACCCCGUAAACGUUGGGAACUAGUUGUGGGGUCCAUUCCACGGAUUCCGUGACGCAGCUAACGCAUUAAGUUCCCCGCCUGGGGAGUACGGCCGCAAGGCUAAAACUCAAAGGAAUUGACGGGGACCCGCACAAGCGGCGGAGCAUGCGGAUUAAUUCGAUGCAACGCGAAGAACCUUACCAAGGCUUGACAUACACGAGAACGCUGCAGAAAUGUAGAACUCUUUGGAC
rnacentral:rRNA from 1 species